UACAUACAUCUAAGAAACAUUAAUUUAAUAAUAGUUUCAUAUUAACAAGCAUGAACUUUUUUUCACGCUAUAAAGCUAACAAAUGAUUCCUAUUUCUAGAUACAUAAAAGAAAAAAUAUGGUUAAAGUUUAUAUGUUUAUUUAUACUAUGAUUUUCUUCUUUUCCAUAUUUAUUUCUAUAGCAAAUACCCUUGGGUGCCAAAAUCAUGAGGAUUGUCGAGAUCAUGUGUGUAUUGAAGCUGACACUAAACCAGUCUGCGCGUUUUGGAUUCCGGCGCCCACAUUUAUAAAGCCCGAAUCUGGGGUUUGUGGAUGUAUUGGGAAGAUCACAAGUAUUGGACAAAAUUAGUGGCUUGUGAAUGUAUAUUGAUGUAUAAAGAAGCAACAAAAAUUAAUUAAAAUAAAAAGGAAAUUAUGUUGUUGCAUGCUCUUAUGAUUUGUUUCACACUUAUAUUUAUUUUAGUACAUUAUA